rnacentral:rRNA from 1 species
ACGAACGCUGGCGGCAGGCUUAACCCAUGCAAGUCGAACGCGUGCAGCAAUGCACGAGUGGCGCACGGGUGAGUAACGCGUGGAUAUCUGCCUUUUGGUUCGGAAUAACCCCGGGAAACUGGGGCUAAUACCGGAUGGUUCCUACGGGAUAAAGAUUUAUCGCCAAAAGAUGAGUCCGCGUCCGAUUAGCUAGUUGGUGAGGUAAUGGCUCACCAAGGCGACGAUCGGUAGCUGGUCUGAGAGGACGAUCAGCCACACUGGGACUGAGACACGGCCCAGACUCCUACGGGAGGCAGCAGUGGGGAAUAUUGGACAAUGGGGGCAACCCUGAUCCAGCCAUGCCGCGUGAGUGAUGAAGGCCUUCGGGUUGUAAAGCUCUUUUGGCGGGGACGAUGAUGACGGUACCCGCAGAAUAAGCCCCGGCUAACUUCGUG